rnacentral:rRNA from 6 species
UUGACCUCGGAUCAGGUAGGGAUACCCGCUGAACUUAAGCAUAUCUA